CCUACGGGAGGCAGCAGUGAGGAAUAUUGGUCAAUGGACGAGAGUCUGAACCAGCCAAGUAGCGUGAAGGAUGACUGCCCUAUGGGUUGUAAACUUCUUUUAUAUGGGAAUAAAAUGUUCCACGUGUGGGCUUUUGUAUGUACCAUAUGAAUAAGGAUCGGCUAACUCCGUGCCAGCAGCCGCGGUAAUACGGAGGAUCCGAGCGUUAUCCGGAUUUAUUGGGUUUAAAGGGAGCGUAGGUGGAUUGUUAAGUCAGUUGUGAAAGUUUGCGGCUCAACCGUAAAAUUGCAGUUGAAACUGGCAGUCUUGAGUACAGUAGAGGUGGGCGGAAUUCGUGGUGUAGCGGUGAAAUGCUUAGAUAUCACGAAGAACUCCGAUUGCGAAGGCAGCUCACUGGACUGCAACUGACGCUGAGGCUCGAAAGUGUGGGUAUCAAACAGGAUUAGAUACCCGAGUAGUC
rnacentral:rRNA from 1 species